CCUACGGGAGGCAGCAGCAAGGAAUUUUGCGCAAUGGGCGAAAGCCUGACGCAGCAACGCCGCGUGGGGGAUGAAGGCCUUCGGGUCGUAAACCCCUUUUCUCGGGGAAGAUAGUGACGGUACCCGAGGAAGAAGCCUCGGCUAACUACGUGCCAGCAGCCGCGGUAAUACGUAGGAGGCGAGCGUUAUCCGGAUUUACUGGGCGUAAAGAGCGCGUAGGCGGCCUGUUAAGUCGGGUGUGAAAUCUCUCGGCGCAACCGGGAGGGGUCACCCGAUACUGAUGGGCUUGAGGGCAGAAGAGGGGGGUGGAAUUCCCGGUGUAGGGGUGAAAUGCGUAGAUAUCGGGAGGAACACCAGUGGCGAAGGCGGCCCCCGGGGCUGCUCCUGACGCUGAGGCGCGAAAGCGUGGGUAGCAAAC
rnacentral:rRNA from 1 species